ensembl:lncRNA
GUUCAGUGGAGAGACUUAAAGCAAGAAAGGAGUAGGGGGUGAGAGGAGAGGGUGGGACAGUUUAAAAGACGGUGUUCAGGGAAUAUCUCACUGAUAUAUCUCAGGUGAUAGUUGAAUGAAGACUUGAAGGAGCUGAGAUAUUGAGACAUGCGGAUAUCUGGAGGAGGAGCUGCUUGACUGGUUUGAUCUCCUUGCUGAAUAAAGGUGUAAAUCUGAUUCAAAGUGAAGGAUGCCACUUAUGCCAGGGGAAGGCAGUUACCAAGACAACAGCAGCGCUCCUCCUUCUUUUGGAUCUGUUUCCAAGCUGAGAACAAUAAAUAUAAAAGAUCAGAAAGAGGGAAAAGCAACGAGUCAUUCAAGGCAUUCGAAUUAUUCACCCUGGAGAAGAGAAUGCUAGGAGGUGCCAAUUAUAUUGUUUUGGUCUAUUAAAGGUUACUACGAUGCUGGAAAAGGACUCAUUCUUUUGAGGUAAUCCGGAGCCAAAUGAACUGAAACUUUUUUCAGAAGGAGGAGAUGUGAUGGUAUGAGAGCAAAAGAAGACCGAAAGUAAAAUUCCUUUUGUUUGAUUUGAUGGUGUGGGUGAGCAGCCUUGGGAACAGUGAACACACCUCCUCCUCUUGUUUGUGUGAGUGACUUUCCCGACUGAGACACAGUAACACCCAGAGGAAAUCAUCUAACUGUUAUUGGUAAUUAAAUGGAGAAUGUCAAGUCUCCCAGAGGACCAUUGCUCAUUGGAGAAGUGGAGAGCCAUUUCUGUUUGCAGUUACUUACUGGUGGAAAAUAAAAUGAGCCCUGUUUUGAUGAAGUGUCCUGGUGCUAGUGAAACAUUCCAUGAAGGGCAUUGUCUCCAAGACUUACUGAAUCCAUUCUACUGAAC